rnacentral:rRNA from 1 species
CGCCCAUUAGCUAGCCCCACCACCACUCACAGCAAGCAGACAUUUCUAACCCAAAAUAAACGUAACACAUCUAACUAAACCAUUUUACCCCCUUAGUAUAGGCGAUAGAAAAGGGACCUAUGGGAGCAAUAGAGACAGUACCGCAAGGGAACGCUGAAAGAGAUAUGAAAAAGACCAGUAAAGCCAUAAAAAGCAGAGACUAACUCUCGUACCUUUUGCAUCAUGAUUUAGCUAGCAUUUUCUAAGCAAAGAGAACUUUAGUUUAGACCCCCGAAACCAGGUGAGCUACUCCAAGACAGCCUAACAUAUAGGGCAAACCCGUCUCUGUGGCAAAAGAGUGGGAAGAACUUUGAGUAGGGGUGACAGACCUAUCGAACUUGGUUAUAGCUGGUUGCCUGAGAACUGAAUAGGAGUUCAGCCUUAAAGAUUCUUAAGUCCAAACUAUUCUUAUUUUUCCAGACAUACUUAGAGAAGCUUUAAGAGUUAUUCAAAGGAGGUACAGCUCCUUUGACCAGAGACACAACUCUUUCAGGAGGAUAAAGAUCAAAAUACUAAAGGAACAAUGUUCUGGUGGGCCUAAAAGCAGCCAUCCAUUCAGAAAGCGUUAAAGCUCGAACACACCCCCCCCCCCCCCCCUCCUUUAUCCCGAUAAUUCAUCUUAUUCCCCUAAUUUUAUCAGGCCGCCCCAUGCCCCCAUGGGUGUGACCAUGCUAAUAUGAGUAAUAGGAGGGAUCUGCCCCUCUCCCCGCACACGUGUACAUCGGAACGAACCCCCACCGAAAAUUAACCGGCCCCAGACAAAGAGGGUAAUUGGAAUUAAAUAAAGAACUAGAAAACCACCCACAAACAGUACCGUUAACCCCACACUGGUGUGCAGUUUAAGGAAAGACUAAAAGAAAAAGAAGGAACUCGGCAAACACUAACUAAGCCUCGCCUGUUUACCAAAAACAUCGCCUCUUGCAACACACUAAGUAUAAGAGGUCCCGCCUGCCCGGUGACGACUCUGUUUAACGGCCGCGGUAUCCUAACCGUGCAAAGGUAGCGCAAUCAUUUGUCUUUUAAAUGAAGACCUGUAUGAAUGGCAUAACGAGGGCUUAACUGUCUCCUUUUUCAAGUCAAUGAAAUUGAUCUCCCCGUGCAGAAGCGGGGAUGUCUACAUAAGACGAGAAGACCCUAUGGAGCUUUAGACACAAGACAGACCACGUCACUCACCCCUACAAUAAAGGGCUAAAACCAGAAAGACCCUGUUCUUCUGUCUUCGGUUGGGGCGACCAUGGGGUAACAAAAACCCCCCACGUGGAUUGGGAGCUUUACCCCCUACUCUCUCUUCCUCCCAAAAUCAAGAGCGACAGCUCUAAUUAACAGAACUUCUGACCAAAAAUGAUCCGGCAACGCCGAUCAACGGACCAAGUUACCCUAGGGAUAACAGCGCAAUCCUCUUUUAGAGCCCAUAUCGACAAGAGGGUUUACGACCUCGAUGUUGGAUCAGGACAUCCUAAUGGUGCAGCCGCUAUUAAGGGUUCGUUUGUUCAACGAUUAAAGUCCUACGUGAUCUGAGUUCAGACCGGAGCAAUCCAGGUCAGUUUCUAUCUAUGACGUAAUCUUUUCUAGUACGAAAGGACCGAAAAGAAGGGGCCCCUGUUAAAGAUACGCCCCACUCCCACCCAAUGAAAUCAUCUAAAUUAGGCAAGGGGGAACACUUCCCAUGCCUGAGAGACUGGCAU